rnacentral:rRNA from 1 species
AAUCCGGAUAAUCAAGGCUGAGGUGUGAUGACGAGGCACUACGGUGCUGAAGUAACAAAUGCCCUGCUUCCAGGAAAAGCCUCUAAGCAUCAGGUAACAUCAAAUCGUACCCCAAACCGACACAGGUGGUCAGGUAGAGAAUACCAAGGCGCUUGAGAGAACUCGGGUGAAGGAACUAGGCAAAAUGGUGCCGUAACUUCGGGAGAAGGCACGCUGGUGUGUAGGUGAAGCCCCUGCGGGUGGAGCU